rnacentral:rRNA from 1 species
GUCGAACGAGCUCAUUCCUUUCGGGGAAUGGGUUAGUGGCGCACGGGUGCGUAACGCGUAUGCAACCUACCUUCCACUGGGGGAUAGCCCACCGAAAGGUGGAUUAAUACCGCAUACUAUAACAGACACGGCAUCGUGUUGUUAUGAAAGCUUUGGCGGUGGAAGAUGGGCAUGCGUGCCAUUAGCUAGAUGGUGCGGGUAACGGCCCACCAUGGCGACGAUGGCUAGGGGUUCUGAGAGGAUGGUCCCCCACACUGGUACUGAGACACGGACCAGACUCCUACGGGAGGCAGCAGUAGGGAAUAUUGGGCAAUGGCCGAGAGGCUGACCCAGCCAUGCCGCGUGCAGGAAGAAGGCCUUCUGGGUUGUAAACUGCUUUUAUCAGGGAAGAAAACGCUCCUGCGGGAGUAACUGACGGUACCUGAUGAAUAAGCACCGGCUAACUCCGUGCCAGCAGCCGCGGUAAUACGGAGGGUGCAAGCGUUGUCCGGAUUUAUUGGGUUUAAAGGGUGCGUAGGCGGCCCGUUAAGUCAGUGGUGAAAUCCCAGGGCUCAACCCUGGAACUGCCAUUGAUACUGAUGGGCUUGAGUUCGGUCGAGGCGGGCGGAACUGGUGGUGUAGCGGUGAAAUGCAUAGAUACCACCAAGAACCCCGAUUGCGUAGGCAGCUCGCUAGGCCGAAACUGACGCUGAGGCACGAAAGCGUGGGGAGCGAACAGGAUUAGAUACCCUGGUAGUCCACGCCGUAAACGAUGAGUACUCGAUGUUGGCGAUACACGGCCAGCGUCCAAGCG